GGAUUGCUUCACCCUACACAGAACCCAGUACCCCUCAGAGGAUGCCCUUCUGAGGAGGAGUGUGGUGGGCAGCUCUAGCUUCUGUGCUGAGGGAGAUCUGCUCUGUGCCCUUCUAGAAACCAGUGUGUACUCCCAGAGCAGGGGCCAGGUAUGGCUCAGAGGAUAGAAGAGUAUCUUCUAGAAGGUAUGCCAAGUCCUGUCAGGUCUGCCACAGACUCAACUGAGGCUGGAACUAAAGAUGGGGCCAAACCCAAGCCUGAGAGGGACUGAUUUAGAGGCCAAAGCCAGAGUUGUACCUGAGUGAACAGUGAUGGGUUUUGGUGUGGAUCUCUGGUGAAUGAUGGAAACCCCUGUUGUUCUCAGGCCACAGUGUGAGGAAUUUGAGGUGGUGUGUCGUGCCUAAAGGCCUCAGGGAUGUAUAGCCGGAGCUAAGGAAACAUAAACACGCACCCUGGUAGAUAGAGCGUGUUCUUCCUUGUGUCCCUUUGGGAUAAGUCACGCUGGGGUUCUUUGCAUUGGCUCCUCCCAUUCAGACCGAGGCCCUUCUGUGGUUAGGGUCCAUCAGCCUCCUGCGUUGAGAGAUUUAGGGACCCUGAUUGGUUUUUCUCUUUGCUUCCUAGUUGUGAGGUAGACAGUUAGCUUUGCCAUUCAGUCUAGGUCAUUACCGUCUGGUUCCUUCACCAGAAGUCCAAAGCAAUGGACCUGGGUGAUCUCAGGCUGUGAGAUAAAGAUUUUUAAAAAAAAAAAAAAAAGCUAAUUAUCUCAGACAUUUCAGUAUAGCGAAGGGAAACUGAGUAUCGUGUGCCCAAGAGCUACAAAGUAGUGGCCCACAGAGGCUGGGUGUGCCUUAAGGAUGGGAGUGUCUGUGAGGCCUUAGAGCUUAACCACAAGGAGCCCACUAGUCAUCUGUCUAAAAAAGUGUGUCUGUCAGUGGAGACAGAAAAGGGAGACAGUAUUGCUGUGUGAGAACAGUGUCUCCAUUAAACUGAAAAUGCUCUGGUGUACUGGGCACUCUGAGGGGCCAUGGCUUCUGGAAGCAGCCUGUGGAGGCUGGCACGUACUGGAACUGAUGAAGUCUCAGGGCGGUAUACCUAGACUGAAGUAGAUUCGGAAGCUGGGAGCCUAGGGGCGUGUGUCUGGGCGGUGGAGUCAGGAGAGCAUGGGGCCACCAAAAAGUAUCACAUAGCUCCUAAGAGCUCAGCUGAGGGGUUGGGGUGGGGGUGGGGAGCCAGCAGCCUGUGCAGAGGCUCAUUCACGUGAGUGAGUCCUGACUCUGCCUCACAGACUUUAUAAGCAGGGAAGCGCCGGGCGUUGGUGGCGCACGCCUUUAAUCCCAGCACUCAGGAGGCAGAGGCAGGCAGAUUUCUGAGUUCGAGGUCAGCCUGGUCUUACAGAGUGAGUUCCAGGACAGCCAGGGCUAUACAGAGAAACCCUGUCUCAAACAAAACAAAACAAUCAGCAGGGAAGCAUGAAGCAGGCUCUGGCAAGGAGUGAGGAUGCACCAUGGUGCUAAAGGUCUGGCUUUGAGGCCAGGCUCCAAUGCUGAGAAAAGUUGUUCCAAUUGGCCAGGUGGUCUGGCACUGCCUGGUGGAGGCCAUUCAUGCUUCUCAGAGGUGUGACACUCAAAAACAGACUUUCCUGUGCUUCUGAAACUCCCACAGGAGAUGGAGUUGAAAGGUAUGGGAAUCUCCGUCCAGGUGUCACAGCAUCUCUGCAUCUGUCCCGACCUUCUCGAGAGAUGGUCUUUCAGGGCCAACAUACUCCUGGGUUCUGACCGGAUGUGACAGCUGCAGCCCCUGCUACAGAUAGUUAGAAGACUCGGUUCCAGGAAGCAGUCUGCUACCCCAAGGGCAGCAUUAUCUACAGUACUGGAAUGUUCUCUGUGCAGAUUGUGCCUGGGAGAAAUGACAUUUCCUCCCAGGCUUAAAGGAGCAAGGCGCUGGAGUCUUGCUUGAGUAGUGGAUCGUUUCUAUAUUCUGGAAAGUAAAACACUGACAAAACUUAUUCUUUUAGCAUUGGCUGCUGUGAUGCUCAGAGUCCCAAGGCAAGACCAGCCGCAGCAAGAAAGGCCACGUGUCAGCCCAGUAGUCAUUUUUAUAGUAUUUAAAGUGAUUUUUUAAAAAAAAAUAUAACUCAGAUCUUAGUCUUAUUAUAAAAGAAAUUACUCAGUUAAACCAGAAGAGAACCAACAAAAACCAAUAGUGACCGCAGGAGCCAGAAAUGGUCAUAGAUCAGAUUUUGGUGUGUGUCCUUCUGGUCUUUUAAAUCUUUUAUACAUUUGUAAAUGAAAAACACUAUGUGUGUGAUUCUUAUUUGCAUACACCCAAGGCCUCACUCGGUACAUCGUGAAUACCUUCUCUUGCCUUUGGUUGGUUGGGUUUUAUGUUCCAAAGGUCCACCAUGGAGCCUUUCGAAUAAGGAAGGGGUUGAAGGGUUAACUGUGAAUUGCAUCCCCUCAGGAUCUGCUAGCUGAAGCCCUUACCCUAGUGCCUUGGAUGUGACCACGGGUCAGGCUUCCUGUGGCUAACAGAGAGUGAUAGCCAUCCUAAGUAUGUCGCAAUAUGGAUCACGUGCAAUGUGACAAGUCCACAGUGGACCACGGAUCCAGGUCUAUUCUGCCAUUUCCAGGGACAUGGAGGGAUAUCCUAGAACCUCCAGAUCUGCAGUUUUCUGUGCCUGGCUGUGUGGAGUAGUGUCAUGGUUCCUGCCUAUUUGCUGCUGAUGCUGUGUGUAUCAGGCUCCUAAAUCUACCUGAUGUGGAGAAAUGAACCAGUUCUUCAAUCACCAAGGACCAAGUCUAUGGAGGUGCAAGUCCCUCAUAUGAGAUCCUGUGGAUUCUAAUUUUUCUACCAAAAGAACAUACAUUGGCUUUGUGAUCACAGCGUGACCUAUCCUGAACAAGGGGCAGUUCCACAGGCUGGAGUGAGGAGGCCUGAGCUGAGCACUAUGGUUAGACCGUGUCUCCCCUUCACCCCUCAAUGCUCACGUGUGGAAAACUUAAGCUUUCUGCUUGCACAGGACAUGGCUGAAGGAGCCCUGCAGAUGAGGAGUCGGCCUGAUAUCAGAAUGUAGAGAGACUCUCUUGUACUGAGUAGAAGCAUCACCUGUCAAUAAAAAAGGCCUAUGGCCAAUGAGAUAAGACAGGGAAUAGGAGGUGAGAGUUCUGGCAGAGAGAGGGAGAGGGUAGAGAGGGAGAGAGAGAGGGGAAGAGAGAGGGGGGAAAGAGGGGGGGAGAGAGGGAGAGAGGGAGAGAGAGAGGGAGAGGGGAAAAGAGAGGGGGUAGAGAGGGAGAGGAGAGAGAGA